rnacentral:rRNA from 1 species
GACGAACGCUGGCGGCGUGCUUAACACAUGCAAGUCGAACGGAAAGGCCCUGCUUGCAGGGUACUCGAGUGGCGAACGGGUGAGUAACACGUGGGUGAUCUGCCCUGCACUUCGGGAUAAGCCUGGGAAACUGGGUCUAAUACCGGAUAGGAGCCAUUUUUAGUGUGAUGGUUGGAAAGUUUUUUCGGUGUAGGAUGAGCUCGCGGCCUAUCAGCUUGUUGGUGGGGUAAUGGCCUACCAAGGCGGCGACGGGUAGCCGGCCUGAGAGGGUGGACGGCCACAUUGGGACUGAGAUACGGCCCAGACUCCUACGGGAGGCAGCAGUGGGGAAUAUUGCACAAUGGGCGCAAGCCUGAUGCAGCGACGCCGCGGGGGGGAUGACGGCCUUCGGGUUGUAAACUCCUUUCGCUAGGGACGAAGCUUUUUGUGACGGUACCUAGAGAAGAAGCACCGGCUGACUACGUG